rnacentral:rRNA from 1 species
UACAGAGGGGGCAAGCGUUGUCCGGAUUUACUGGGCGUACAGCGCGCGCAGGCGGUUGCGUAUGUGAGCGGUGACAUCCGCGGGCUCAACCCGCGGCGGCCCGCUUACACAGCGCGACUGGAGGCAGGGAGAGGGAUGUGGAAUACCCGGUGGAGCGGUGAAAUGCGUAGAUAUCAGGAGGAACACCUGCGGUGUAGACGGCUUACUGGACCAUAACUGACGCUGAGGCACGAAAGCGUGGGUAGCAAACAGG